rnacentral:RNase_P_RNA from 1 species
AAGGCGGGAUCUUCCGUCGCGGUCGAAAGACUGAGGAAAGUCCGGACAAGAAAGGGCAUCGCACUGCGGAAAGCGCAGGUGGGGGUAACCUUACGCCAGCUGUAACAGAAAAUUACCGCACUUUCUAAGGUAAUAUGCGACCGAAGGGAGCAAAUUUGUUUUAGAAAGUGCAAGGGUGAAAACGCGAGGUAAGAGCUCACGACGCUGUGUGGCGACACAUGGCGGGUACGGCACUGCGACUUGCAAAACCAAAUAUACUGACAGAUGAGGGCUGCCCGUCCGAUGUCAGGGGGUAGGUUGCGAAGAUAAAUGACGGAUCAAAACAGAACCCGGCUUACUUUCCCGCCUUUUCA